rnacentral:lncRNA from 1 species
CACACACCCCUCUAACCGGAACAGCCACAACCGCCUCACCAUCUCCUCCCACUCUCCCUCGCCCUCUGCCAAACAAACCAGCCGCCACCUACACUCUCCCUCUCCUCCCCGAUCUCCUCUCUUCACCAACCAAAGCAACCGCUCCUUCUCCAGCCGAAACCAGAGAAACAGAGCCACCCCUGGCCUUUGAUUUUUUUUUUUUAGCCAGCAACAAACCGACAGCCCCCCUCUCUUUCAAAACCUAACCGGAGCAGCCACUCCGUUUCCCCAAGCCACAAAUCUGCCCUCUCUCACCUGAAAAAGACCAACGGCCACAGACCCAGCAACAGAAUCUCCCCUUCUCAGCAGUGUCUCCUCCUCCUCCGGACCAUCAACGCCGUCCGCCAACCGCAGCAGCUCCUCCCCACGGACCCGAUCUGCUCACCACCGAGGAAACAUCUCCACCGCAGCAGCAUCCCCGCCGCCAGAACUGCCCAACAGCGGCCACAGAAGCUGGAUCUGUCACCAGCAGAGGAAAACGCACCAAAAAAAGAAGAAGGGAUAAUCAGAUCUGAAAAAUAAAGAAAAAAUUAAAAUCGACUGGAUGUGGGGUUUUGUUUGAGAUUUGCAGGUGACGGACAGUAGGGGAUUGAAGAGAGGAAUAAGCCAUUACAGCCCCCCCAUUUUCGGUUGUUUUCACGGCGGCGCGUGGACCCACGCGCCGCCAGUGGCGGUGGUGCGUG